CCUACGGGUGACAGCAGUGAGGAAUAUUGGUCAAUGGGCGCGAGCCUGAACCAGCCAAGUCGCGUGAGGGAAGACGGUCCUAUGGAUUGUAAAUCUCUUUUGUCGGGGAGCAAAAGACGCCACGCGUGGCGUUCCGAGAGUACCCGAAGAAAAAGCAUCGGCUAACCCCGUGCCAGCAGCCGCGGUAAUACGGAGGAUGCGAGCGUUAUACGGAUUUAUUGGGUUUAAAGGGUGCGCAGGCGGAAGAUCAAGUCAGCGGUAAAAUUGAGAGGCUCAACCUCUUCGAGCCGUUGAAACUGGUUUGCUUGAGUGAGCGAGAGGUAUGCGGAAUGCGUGGUGUAGCGGUGAAAUGCAUAGAUAUCACGCAGAACUCUGAUUGCGAAGGCAGCAUACCGGCGCUCAACUGACGCUCAUGCACGAAAGUGUGGGUAUCGAACAGGAUUAGAUACCCUGGUAGUC
rnacentral:rRNA from 1 species